AGAGUGAACGCUGGCGGUAGGCCUAACACAUGCAAGUCGAACGGCAGCACGGUAAGAGCUUGCUCUUAUGGGUGGCGAGUGGCGGACGGGUGAGGAAUACAUCGGAAUCUACCUUUUGGUGGGGGAUAACGUAGGGAAACUUACGCUAAUACCGCAUACGCCCUUCGGGGGAAAGCCGGGGACCAGCAAUGGCCUGGCGCUGAUAGAUGAGCCGAUGUCGAUUAGCUAGUUGGUGAGGUAAUGGCUCACCGAAGGCGACGAUCCCGUAGCUAGGUCUAGAGAGGAUGAUCAGCCAACGACUAGGAACUGACGACACGGUCCAAGACCGUCCUACGGGGAGCAAGCGAGGUAGGGAAUAGUGGAACAAGUCGGGACGUAC
rnacentral:rRNA from 1 species